CCUACGGGAGGCAGCAGUGAGGAAUAUUGGUCAAUGGACGGAAGCCUGAACCAGCCAUGCCGCGUGCAGGAAGACGGCUCUAUGAGUUGUAAACUGCUUUUGUACAAGGGUAAACCUGAAUACGUGUAUUCAGCUGAAAGUACUGUACGAAUAAGGAUCGGCUAACUCCGUGCCAGCAGCCGCGGUAAUACGGAGGAUCCAAGCGUUAUCCGGAUUUAUUGGGUUUAAAGGGUGCGUAGGCGGAUUGAUAAGUUAGAGGUGAAAUGUUCGGGCUUAACUCGGGAACUGCCUCUAAUACUGUUGAUCUAGAGAGUAGAUGCGGUAGGCGGAAUGUAUGGUGUAGCGGUGAAAUGCUUAGAGAUCAUACAGAACACCGAUUGCGAAGGCAGCUUACCAAUCUAUAUCUGACGUUGAGGCACGAAAGCGUGGGGAGCAAACAGGAUUAGAUACCCCAGUAGUC
rnacentral:rRNA from 1 species